GACGGUCGUUUCUCUCUUGAACCCACCUCCCCACGAAAAAAACCCAAACCCCGAAACCACCCCCAAAUCGUGCGUGCGGUUAGAGUGGCGAGCUGCUGCAGUACGAAUUGCGGCGAGCCUAGGCGGCGCCAGUGGCAGCUCGGGAAGGAACGGUCGGUGGCGGCUGAGAGGAGCGGCGCGUGAGAGAAGAUGCGUGGCGGCGACGGGUGACGCGGCGGGCCGGCUCGACCCUAGGCGGCACCGGCAGUUGCAGCCGAGGCGGUGGCUUCAACGACGACGGCUGGGGCCUGAGCGAGGAGAAGCUCGACAAGCUCGAGCAGGAGGCCUACCGCGAGCUCGCCGAGCGCAAGACCUCCUCCUCCAGCGCCUCGACCUCUCCCGCGACUUCACCGCUGCGGCCGGCGGCGACGUGCGAGUGGCCUCGGCGAGCGGUCGCUGUCGUACUCGGCGGGGCUUGCUCCGAUGUCGCUGGAGUUAUCAAAUCGUGCUUGCGGUUCGGGUGGAGUUGGCGAGAGGCGAGCCUAGGCGACGGUGGCCGCCUUGACGACGACUGGGGCCACCGCGUGCUCGGUGAGGGCGAGGCGGCUCGCCCGGCACGACCGUCCAGCGUGAGGAACCCCGACAUCAACCGGAGGCGACAGCGCCUGCGUCUCUCUCUCUCCGGCGAAGAGCUCGGCGUCUCUCCUCCGGCGAAGCGCGUCCCAGCAACGCAAAGGCGGAUCCCACCUCUGCCUCCACUUCUCCCCGAUUGGCGGCGCCCCUUGGCUCCGCACGACGUGACCGUCCAGGGCCAGGCGCUUCGCCGAUGACACGCACAUGCUCGUCUCUGAUGCCUCCUCACCGGCAGCUCCUCCCCCGGCCGCGACGGUAACCUCGCUGCCAUCGUGGCCACCGACAUCGGCCAAUCCCGUCGUACUUGCCGCUGCUUCUGCAGACUCCACCCUAUUUGUUCUUUACUUACUUCUCUGCAAGCUUGAAACACUGACCAAUUUUACAAGAUUUUAUUGUCUGGUCUGAAGACGUAUUCGAUGGAACGGUUGGUGUGCUUGCUGACCCCAAGGAAGUAUAUCCAACAUCAUUUAUGUUUGUGAUAUACAGCUACUUUCCUUUUUUCCUUUCUUUUCGUAUUUGGUUUGUUCGAUAAAAGGCUCCUGCUGGAAUUCAAGAGGUUCAUUUUCUGCUGUUCAAUCCAACUGAACAAAGCUAAUGCAGAUUUUCAUAAGGUGCAGAUUUUCAGUAAUGCAGAAAAUGUCUAUUGUUUCGGUAGUGUAGAAAGUAGUUGUUGUUGAGUUCAAACUAUAAAAAAUUGUAACUACACACACAUGGCCAGAACAUGUGUGUAAUAUAUGGCCUUCUAGUUCAAAUUAUGGCCGGAACAUGACAAACUCAGCUGUAAUAUAUGUGCGUUUUGUGCAAUAUUGUAAGGACCUAUGUUCAGUUCCUCUGAUAUUCAACCUGCAAUGCAUAGGUGGCCUUCUAGUUAUCAUGGUGGUGGUAAUGGUGUACUAAAGUCUAAAGCUGACAAGAUUUGUGACCUGAAAACUUAUGCAAUCUUAGUUGUUGCAUAAUUCAAUCUGGGUCAGCGCUGGCGACGCGAGAUGGGGCGAGGUGGUCCAAGCUCGAUGGCGUGAAGGGCGGGAAUGAUGCUGGAUUUGGAAGAACAAUGGUGGAUGCUGAGGUCGACGCAGACGCCGGCCCACAACUCGCAUCGUUGGGCUAAUCGGCGACCUCGGCGCCCAGUCUGCCGCUCAGCCCAGUCCUACCUCGUCGGCCGGCUCCUCCCCACUGUUGUGAUAUUCCCCUCGCCAGCAGCUCGUGUGGAAUUAGCCGCCGCAGUGUGGCGAUCGCCGGUAAACCAGCUCAGAGCUGAGACUACUCUAUUCUUGAAAUUAAGAGAGCUACAGAGACAUAAACUUCCACUGAUUUUACUUGUGAGCAUGGUGUAAGGUAUGCUAUGCUAACUCUUGUUUAACGUUGAUGAAAUUCUGAGGAUAAUAAAACUUGAAGUUAAUUUUGUUCCGGUGAGAACUUGUUUACUUGUAUUCCAAACGCUGCAGGUUAGGAGGUUGGACAAAAGUACUUUGUGUAUGGUUCAAGAUUCAAAGCCCACUGGACUAUCAGAUGUGAGUUUGACAAAAUAUAUAUUGUAGCCUUUGACUCUUUGUUUGAUGAAACGAGACAUGCUUAGAGUCUAAGAUAUGAUUGCCGUUAAUGAUGAUGAUAUAAUCCGAAACCUAAUGUCUUGUUGUUUCGGCAAGUCUCGUGACAGAUACUCAAGCAAGAAUGUGCAAAUACUAACUUAUAGGAUAUUGGGCAAUUUUGCAGGCAGUCAUUGUUUCAAAUGGAGAGAAGUGUUGCCGAAGGAGGAAUGAUGAGUCUGAAAGGGCUUGCAUAGUUACAAUCAUGUGUAUACCUUUUGUCUUCUGUUGUUGUAGUGAUUGAGCAGUUAAGUGAGGCAUGCGUUUUACUUGUACUCGUUGCUGCUGUGAAAAAAAUAUUGUCUCACUCCAUUAUGCUCCCGGAUUGCUCAAUUUGACCUCUAUAGUGAUGCUUGAAAUAUUUUGUUUGCCACUAUUUUGUUAA